rnacentral:rRNA from 1 species
GACAGAGGGGGGCAAGCGUUGCUCGGAAUUAUUGGGCGUAAAGGGCGCGUAGGCGGCUUGAUAAGUCAAAGGUGAAAUCCCUCGGCUCAACUGAGGAACUGCCUUUGAAACUGUCUGGCUUGAGGCCGGGGAGGGGGUAGCGGAAUUCCCAGGUGUAGCGGUGAAAUGCGUAGAUAUUGGGAGGAACACCGGUGGCGAAGGCGGCUACCUGGACCGGUUCUGACGCUGAUGCGCGAAAGCGUGGGUAGCAAACAGG